CCAGACUCCUACGGGAGGCAGCAGUGGGGGAUAUUGCACAAUGGGGGGAACCCUGAUGCAGCGACGCCGCGUGGGUGAAGAAGCGCUUCGGCGCGUAAAGCCCUGUCAGCAGGGAAGAAAAUGACGGUACCUGAAGAAGAAGCCCCGGCUAACUACGUGCCAGCAGCCGCGGUAAUACGUAGGGGGCAAGCGUUAUCCGGAUUUACUGGGUGUAAAGGGGGCGCAGACGGCGAUGCAAGCCAGGAGUGAAAGCCCGGGGCCCAACCCCGGGACUGCUCUUGGAACUGCGUGGCUGGAGUGCAGGAGGGGCAGGCGGAAUUCCUGGUGUAGCGGUGAAAUGCGUAGAUAUCAGGAGGAACACCGGUGGCGAAGGCGGCCUGCUGGACUGCAACUGACGUUGAGGCCCGAAAGCGUGGGGAGCAAACAGGAUUAGAUACCCGAGUAAG
rnacentral:rRNA from 1 species